rnacentral:rRNA from 1 species
UACGGAGGGUGCAAGCGUUAUCCGGAUUCACUGGGUUUAAAGGGUGCGUAGGCGGGUAAGUAAGUCCGUGGUGAAAUCUCUGAGCUUAACUCAGAAACUGCCGUGGAUACUAUUUGCCUUGAAUAUUGUGGAGGUGAGCGGAAUAUGUCAUGUAGCGGUGAAAUGCUUAGAUAUGACAUAGAACACCAAUUGCGAGGGCAGCUCACUACACAAUCAUUGACGCUGAGGCACGAAAGCGUGGGGAUCAAACAGG